CAGCCGCCACGGUAAUACGAAGGGUGCAAGCGUUAAUCGGAAUUACUGGGCGUAAAGCGUGCGUAGGCGGUGAGUUAAGUCUGCUGUGAAAUCCCCGGGCUCAACCUGGGAAUGGCAGUGGAUACUGGCUCGCUAGAGUGUGUCAGAGGAUGGUGGAAUUCCCGGUGCAGCGGUGAAAUGCGUAGAGAUCGGGAGGAACAUCAGUGGCGAAGGCGGCCAUCUGGGACAACACUGACGCUGAGGCACGAAAGCGUGGGGAGCAAACAGGAUUAGAUACCCCCGUAGUCCCUGUCUCUUAUAC
rnacentral:rRNA from 1 species